GGGCGAUACCUUUGAAGUUUGAACAAAGGCCAAAAAAAUGGCGAAAAUGGGCGAGAAGGUGGGGGAUUUGGACUUCCACCUGAGAUCCCUCACCAGUAAUGCCCGGGAUUCGUCCUCUGCUAGUGACCCUGCCUCCGAUCCCCAUAUCCUCCAAUCUGUUCGGAAAAUAUACGAGAUUUGCAAGGAGGAAGGGUCUGAGGAUUUGGUUGCCAGGGCGCACCCGCAGAUUAAUAAGCUGUUCCAGAGAUCCGUCUUGGCGCUGCCCAACUCUCAGACCUCCAAUGGUCUUCUCUUGCUGACUAUCUUGCAAUUCUUUCUUGAUUUUGGCGAAGUAGUUCUACAUGAUGCGGAUCCAAGUUUGAGGACUUUUUUUCGUUCAUGUCUAAGCAGAGAGUUUGCAGACCCUGUUGUAGCUGAAGCCACACUUGAUUUUAUAAAUCGGAAUAAAAAGAAGUUUCUCACUUCUUUUCCUGCCUUACUUCCACAGUUCUUUCCAUUACUCCUGAAACUGAUCGCAUGGAAUGGUACAAAAUUGGAGAAUUCCUUUUUGAUGGUUCUUCCCACAAUGAUGUCACCAGGAUCAUUCCUUCCUCUUUUCCCUUCCCUCCUUGAUUUGCCAAUAUUGGUGAUUGCCUUGGAAAAAGUGGAGAAGAGCUCAGGCACUUUAAUUGGAAGCAGUAUAGCAUCUAUCCAGAAGAGUAAAGCUCCUGAGAUGCUACUUGCACUCAUGGAUGAAGCUUAUACUGGUUCAACCAUAGAAGAUCGAGGGACUGACUCUGGAUCAGAUGAUAGUAGUGCCAUUGAUGUUGCUGAUCCAGUUUUCCUUGAUCUUUUAAAGGAUGAAAAUGAUGGCAUUGCUGAACGGCAUUGGACAUCUGCAGGGAUGGCAGCAGCAUUGCAGGCAGCAAUCAACACCGCACAGUCAGUUAGACUAAAGCAAGCACUUCAAUUGGCACCUCGUUUCCUUUCUGUAUAUUUUGAGAUUGCAUUGCAGGAUGCCAGUGAUUCACUACUAUGCGCAUUGCUUCCGCUUCUUAUGUCCAGAAAUGCUACAGUAUACCCUGACAAGAUUUUUUCAUUUGAGGUUCGAAGGAGGAUAAUAGAUUUUAUGCUGGCUGUUUUUCAACGAUCACCUGAUUUUGUUGCACUGCUGAAGAAGCCUAUUAUAGACAGAUUAGGAGAAGCUUAUGACAAUCCUGAGAAGACAGAGCUUGCACUGCACUUGUGUUGGGCUAUUGGUGAGCAUGGAGCUGGAGGUGUAUCGCACAAAAACGCAGCUCGAGAGCUUUUCGAAAGCUUGGAAUUGCUUUUAUACGAGAAUCUUUCAUCUAGUCGAUUUAGGCUUGAGUCUGGACGCGUCUAUUGACUCAAUGACUGCUACUUCCAGAAAAUCAUCGCAAGCUCGGCUGCUUUGUUUUGCAGUGACAGCCAUUGCAAAACUAGCAACAUGCCAUCGCGAGCUACUUCCAAGGGCUCGAGUAUCUUUAGCGAAGGUAGCUCGCUCUCAAAACUCAGACAAGAGGGUUUGGAGACGUGCUCGUGAUUGUCUAGGACUAAUGAAUGAACCAGCAAUUUGUUCCUCUGUUCUCGGUCCUUCAUCCGGGGGUGAUCAGGGACCUGGCACUGUCAAAUGGAAUGAAGGUGGUUCAAAGAUGAUCUCUCAUCUACCAUUUUACAUUCUCAGUGAACAAGAAGGUCCACCCUUCCAUGAUUUUUCCUUUGUAGAUAUCCUUCGACGUCCUGAUCAAGAUCCUGUCGUUUAAAACACAAACUGUUGAAAUGUCUGCAUUGACUUCUAAUCCAUGUAUUUUUGAAGAAAUGCCAUUGCAUUGAUGAACAUUUAUAAAAGUUCAGUCUAAGAAGUCAAAGUGAGUUAAA